AUGCUUCAUGGAAGAGGAGGCAUUUGUGCUUUGUUGUAACAUGAAGAUUCAGUCAUAUGACUAGGGAGACUAUAUCAAGAAGAUUCUCUUCCACUUUUUCUUCCAGCAAAUUUUCUGAUGCACUUAGGGAUACUAAGUUUUCAUGAAUUUGAGGAAACACCCAGUUGGCAAGACAUCGCAACCUUGAUGGAAAUGGUGAAACACACAGGCUCCCUACCCCCACGCCUCCCCAUAUAGGUGUCGCUGCUGUACGCAAAGUGAGACUCUUGUGAAUCACAGAGCUGGUGUGGUGACAACC